rnacentral:rRNA from 1 species
GUGAGGUAACGGCUCACCAAGGCGACGACGGGUAGCUGGUCUGAGAGGACGAUCAGCCACACUGGAACUGAGACACGGUCCAGACUCCUACGGGAGGCAGCAGGAGGGAAUAUUGCGCAAUGGGCGAAAGCCUGACGCAGCAACGCCGCGUGAGGGAUGACUGCCUUCGGGUUGUAAACCUCUUUCAGUGGGGACGAAAUUGACGGUACCCACAGAAGAAGCACCGGCCAACUACGUGCCAGCAGCCGCGGUAAUACGUAGGGUGCAAGCAUUGUCCGGAUUUAUUGGGCGUAAAGAGCUCGUAGGCGGCUUAACAAGUCGGCCGUGAAAUACCGAGGCUCAACCUCGGGGAGUCGGUCGAAACUGUUAUAGCUAGAGUACGGUAGAGGAGAGUGGAAUUCUCGGUGUAGCGGUGGAAUGCGCAGAUAUCGAGAGGAACACCAGUAGCGAAGGCGGCUCUCUGGGCCGUUACUGACGCUGAGGAGCGAAAGCGUGGGGAGCAAACAGGAUUAGAUACCCUGGUAGUCCACGCUGUAAACGUUGGGAACUAGGUGUUGCGGUCUGAUCAAUGACUGCGGUGCCGAAGCUAACGCAUUAAGUU